rnacentral:ncRNA from 1 species
UCUAAAGUAUCCCUUAGGAUAGCUGGAGCUCAUGUUGAGAGUUUUAUUAGGUAAAGUGAAUGAUUAGAGGCAUUGGGGUGAAACACCCUUGACCUAUUCUCAAAAUUUGAAUAGGUAAGACAGUUGAAUCUUAACGUUUGAAUCUAAGCUCUAAGUGGGCUAUUUUUGGUUAGGCAGAUUGACUAGGCCAAUUCUGGUACGUUCGUCUAGGGCGUAGGA